rnacentral:rRNA from 1 species
GACGAACCGUGCGAACGUUGUUCGGAAUCAUUGGGCGUAAAGCGCGUGUAGGCGGCCCGAUAAGUCCGCUGUGAAAGCCCAGGGCUCAACCCUGGGAUGCCGGUGGAUACUGUCGGGCUCGAGUCCGGAAGAGGCGAGUGGAAUUCCUGGUGUAGCGGUGAAAUGCGCAGAUAUCAGGAAGAACACCCGUGGCGAAAGCGGCUCUCUGGAACGGUACUGACGCUGAGACGCGAAAGCGUGGGGAGCGAACAGG